rnacentral:lncRNA from 1 species
GCGAUCAUAACAGGAAGGUUCUUGUGGUGACAGUAAGUUGUAGUUCAUUUGAAGGUUUUGGAGGAGGGGCAUUUUCGAAAAAAGAAAUGUGAGAAAAAAAAAGUGAGACAACAAACUCAACAGCAUUUUUGGAGUUCUUAGAGACAGAGGGAUGUAAACCGAGUAGGAGGUCGUUCAUACGUCAGCCAGGUGUUGUGAGUGUGUGAAGAAACAUUGUCUGAAUUCUCACCUUGCUACAGGGGCGAGACAUGUACAUCUGAAUACUUACAUAAAGACGUAAAUGCGUUAGCUGAUUUGAUUCCAAGUGUACAACAGUUCAAGUGGGUUCUGAAUGGACUCAGUGUACCACACACAUCCUGACUUGUGUGCCAACCUUCAGCGCUGUCCCCUUUGGAGUCAAGAGUCAGGAAGCCAGAUGAGGCUGUGGCAUGCCCGGCAUUUCACCUGGUUCCAUUGGCAACUCCAGACACCUCCCACUCGGCAAGGGUCCAGACAUGAAUCUCCUUCUGAGGCACGCGACGCCUCGAGCAUUGUUUCCAGCUUUUGCUGCUGCUCAGGAGUUCAGUACAGUCUAUUGUCCAUGUCAGCGGGGGACCGAAAAAAAGGCACAUUCAAGCAAAAGAAAAGUCCCGAGGCUGAUAUAUGUGUUGUGCAUGUACAAUUAAAGAAAAUCCUAGAAAGAAGACAUUUUAAUUUUAUAGAAUUAACCCCUUUACUCACAUUUCUUGCCUGGUGCAGUACCAGCCCUGUCUUUAUGUCAGUAUUAUGUCAGCUGGUGUAUUUUAAUACCAUAAUAAUUAACAAUUGGACAGGAAUCUUUUACAUCCAAUAGCUCCAGUCAUUCAGUUACCAGACCUUGUAAGAAGACUAUUACAACUGGAGAAUACUGCAAGGGUUAUAUCUUCGGAAACUUGCAAAGCUGUUAAAAUAUAAUGAAUAAAGCUCCAUAAUGUAAAUUCUGUGUUUGACUUUUUUCUUUGAACUGUUUCAGGCACUUCAACUAUCAACAUCACCUGAUGUUGUCAGAUGUGCCGCAGCCACUGACCACCUGCCAUAUCCUGACAUGCAGGAUUCAUGAAAUUCCACUCAGCUAUUUCACACCAUGGAUCAUAAAAUAUACAUGUGAGUGCCAGAUUGCUGUUCAGAUUCUUUCAUUUUUUAACAAAAGAAUCCCAAGCCUCCACAUUUAGGUAUUGAAGAGGCUUAAUAAAUCUGAAUGAUUGUAAGUCUAACUGGAUGAACUGAAUGUUUGAGACAAUGUCUUGAAAAUCUCCAUAUCUGCGACCAUGCAACUGUUGUUCAUCCAGCACAGCAGCUGUAUUUAGCUCUGCUCUAACCACUUGGCUGUAGCCCAGUUUAGAUUAUCACCCUUGUAAAUUGCAGUCAUGGUUAAUUACGUGGAAAGGGAAUCCAUGACUUGUGCAGUUUUGGGCGAAAAGCCGCUCCUGCCCUGCCACAUGGGCAAAGCGUAUUCACAAAACGCACAAGCAACAAGGCACGGCCUCCCUAACACAUGCUCGCUCAGAAAGACACAUAUUUACGCAUACUGUGGGCCAACACAUGGCACGGACCACCCAAGAAGGAGCAGUGUCUUUAAAAAAUAAUGAAAAUUCCACUGCAGUUUGGUGUUGCACAGCAGGCCGAGGCAGCACCACGUGUACACGCCUGCGCCCCGCCUGAUGAUGCUGCAGUUUGCUAACGUCAAUGUUGAGAGCAUGACCCAGAAAUUAGUGUUAUGGAAAAAAAAUGUUUCUUUUUCCAUCGAAAAACAGAGAGAUCCUA